UGGAGAUUUAGCUUGGUGGUACAGUGCUUGCCUAGCAUGCAUAAAGUUCUGGGUUCGAUCCCCAGAAAA
rnacentral:tRNA from 1 species